rnacentral:rRNA from 1 species
CAGGGAUUCCCCUAGUAACGGCGAGUGAAGCGGGAACAGCUCAAAUUUGAAAUCUGGCUUUCGGGUCCGAAUUGUAAUUUGCAGAGGAUGCUUUUGGUUAGGUACUUUCCGAGUUCCCUGGAACGGGACGCCUUAGAGGGUGAGAGCCCCGUACGGUUGGAUACCGAGCCUCUGUAAAGCUCCUUCGACGAGUCGAGUAGUUUGGGAAUGCUGCUCUAAAUGGGAGGUAAAUUUCUUCUAAAGCUAAAUACCGGCCAGAGACCGAUAGCGCACAAGUAGAGUGAUCGAAAGAUGAAAAGCACUUUGAAAAGAGGGUUAAAUAGCACGUGAAAUUGUUGAAAGGGAAGCGUUUAUGACCAGACUUUUUCCAGGCGAAUCAUCCGGUGUUCUCGCCGGUGCACUUCGUCUGGUUGAGGCCAGCAUCGGUUUUCGUGGGGGGAUAAAAGCGGUGGGAAUGUGACUCCUUCGGGAGUGUUAUAGCCCGCCGUAUAAUACCUCCACGGGGACCGAGGUUCGCGCAUCUGCAAGGAUGCUGGCGUAAUGGU